UCUAUGAUGGGCAGAACAAGAUAGAGAGACUGUGCUGGCCGUUUGAAUAAGACAGCAUGUGCACGUCCCCUCGUCUUCGUUCGGUCUGUCGUAUACCCACACCUGUGCACCAAUUGUAGAUCUUUCAACGUUAAUGUCGAUGGAAGUCCUUUAUCUCGUCCGACGAGUUAACUUAGUUACUAGGCAGUCUUUCGAAAGAGAGGCUGGCGAAAGCAAGCUAGAGGAUCAAAGUUGAUGUCGAUGUCGACGGUAAAUCCUUGAUCUGAUCAAGCUUAGUUACUAGGCAGUCUUUGAAAAGAGGCUGGCGAAAGCAAGCAAGAAAGGACAGGAUCAAAGUCGAUGUCGAUGUCGAUGGUAAGUCCUUGAUCUCGUCAAGCUUAGUUACUAGGCAGUCUUUUGAAAAAGAGACUGGCGAAAGCAAGCAGGAAAAGAGGAGGAUGAAAGUUAAUGUUGAUGUAGAGGGUAGAAUCAAAGUUAAUGUUAACGGAAGUCCUUGAUGAGUUAGCUUAGUUACUAGGCAGUCUUUCGAAAGAGAGGCUGGCGAAAGCAAGCAAGCAGAGGAUGAAAGUUAAUGUUGAUGCUGAUGAUAUCAAUGGAUCUAUGUUUUCAUCAUCACACACUAUUGUAUGGCCAGAAUGUUUAUAAAUAAAAUACAACUUUCAGCAAUGGAUCUCUUGGUUCUCGCAUCGAUGAAGAACGCAGCGAAUUGCGAUAAGUAAUGUGAAUUGCAGAUUUCCAGUGAAUCAUCGAAUCUUUGAACGCAUCUUGCGCUCCUUGGUAUUCCGAGGAGCAUGCCUGUUUGAGUGUCAUUUAAUUAUCAACCAUCGUUCUUUAGUGAAUGAUGGCUUGGAGUUGGGGGUUGCUGGCGACGACCUGGUUGUCAGCUCUCCUUAAAAGCAUUAGCGAUCGAAGUCUUUCGACAUGCACGGCCAUUGACGUGAUAAUGAUCGUCGUGGCUGGAGUGUCUUUCCUAGAUAGAUCGCUUCUAAUAGACAAGAUCCUUGAUCUUCAUCAAGCUUAGCUACUAGGCAGUCUUUGAAAAGAGGCUGGCGAACACAAGCAAGAGAAAGGGACAGGAUCGAAGUUAAUGUUGAUGUAAAUCCUCGAGCUUAGUUACUAGGCAGUCUUUGAGAAAGAGGCUGGCGAACACAAGCUAUGGAAGUCAAUGUUGACGAAAUAUAAUGACUG
rnacentral:rRNA from 1 species